CAGCCGCCGCGGUAAAACGAAGGGUGCAAGCGUUACUCGGAAUUACUGGGCGUAAAGCGCGCGUAGGUGGUUUGUUAAGUUGGAUGUGAAAGCCCCGGGCUCAACCUGGGAACCGCAUCCAAAACUGGCAAGCUAGAGUACGGUAGAGGGUGGUGGAAUUUCCUGUGUAGCGGUGAAAUGCGUAGAUAUAGGAAGGAACACCAGUGGCGAAGGCGACCACCUGGACUGAUACUGACACUGAGGUGCGAAAGCGUGGGGAGCAAACAGGAUUAGAGACCCCGGUAGUCCCUGUCUCUUAUAC
rnacentral:rRNA from 1 species